UAUGUUCUCCUUAUUCAGACUCAGAUAAGACUGGUCUGCCAAGGUUCAGUAGGUUCAGUAGUUGGUGUGCCAAGAUGACUGGAGUAUUGUCUGUUUAGCCGGAUACAGAUGAUGGAUCAGAGAAAGAUAGUCACAGCCCGAGUCUCUCAACAGCUAACCUUGUAAGCACCAGUGAUGGUGCUCCUAACCAUUCAUCUUCAAGUGGGAAAAUGAGUUUUGGCUUGUCAGAACGGAGAAGCCCAGAGUUGAAGUCGUGAUAAAGGCACAAAUGGUGGACCACUAUACCCAAAUCCUAAUGGAAGUGUUGGGGAAGUAUGUAGUCUCACCAGAUACUACGCUAUCUGUCUGCCCUGUGAGUGGCAUUUUGACAGAGAAGAAAAUUGCAUUUGUGCUUCAACGAAAUAGGACAUAUGUUGAGGUCACAUAAGGGCCACAGGACAUAGGCCAUAUGUUUUUUUCUCUUGUAAAUAGGAUUCCUGAUGCCUGACGAUAUACAUUGUGAACAAUCCCGUGGUGUUGUAAUAACGCAAUUUGGUUAAGAAAUGAA